rnacentral:rRNA from 1 species
GACGAACGCUGGCGGCGUGCUUAACACAUGCAAGUCGAACGGAAAGGCCUGCUUUCCCUUGUGGAUUGCGGGUACUCGAGUGGCGAACGGGUGAGUAACACGUGAGUGAUCUGCCCCCAACUUGGGUAUAAGCCUGGGAAACUGGGUCUAAUUCCCGAUAGGACUGCAGGGUGGUGCCUGUGGUGGAAAACGAUUUUCUAGUGGUUGGGGAUGAGCUCGCGGCCUAUCAGCUUGUUGGUGGGGUAAUGGCCUACCAAGGCGGCGACGGGUAGCCGGCCUGAGAGGGUGGACGGCCACAUUGGGACUGAGAUACGGCCCCGACUCCUACGGGAGGCAGCAGUGGGGAAUAUUGCCCCAUGGGCGGAAGCCUGAUGCAGCGACGCCGCGUGGGGGAUGACGGCCUUCGGGUUGUAAACUCCUUUCGACCGCGAGGAAGCCACCUGGUUGGAAGGGUGGUGACGGUAGUGGUAGAAGAAGCACCGGCUAACUACGUG